AUUGAACGCUGGCGGCAUGCCUUACACAUGCAAGUCGAACGGCAGCACGGGUGCUUGCACCUGGUGGCGAGUGGCGAACGGGUGAGUAAUACAUCGGAACAUGUCCUGUAGUGGGGGAUAGCCCGGCGAAAGCCGGAUUAAUACCGCAUACGAUCCACGGAUGAAAGCGGGGGACCUUCGGGCCUCGCGCUAUAGGGUUGGCCGAUGGCUGAUUAGCUAGUUGGUGGGGUAAAGGCCUACCAAGGCGACGAUCAGUAGCUGGUCUGAGAGGACGACCAGCCACACUGGGACUGAGACACGGCCCAGACUCCUACGGGAGGCAGCAGUGGGGAAUUUUGGACAAUGGACGAAAGCCUGAUCCAGCAAUGCCGCGUGUGUGAAGAAGGCCUUCGGGUUGUAAAGCACUUUUGUCCGGAAAGAAAUCCUUGGCUCUAAUACAGUCGGGGGAUGACGGUACCGGAAGAAUAAGCACCGGCUAACUACGUG
rnacentral:rRNA from 1 species